rnacentral:lncRNA from 1 species
AUAUAUUCACAAAAGCAUCACAAUUAUAAUAUCAUUCACAACUAGAUCAUUUACAGAUAGCUAGCUAGAUCAUUCACAAAAGCUCUAGAGAUGAUCAGUCACAAAAGCACCACAUCGACAUCACUCCAGCUUGAAGCAGUUCAAAAGCCCACAACUACAUCACUAAUGUUUCAUAUCACUCCAUCUAUUGUUCAAAAGCCCACAACUACAUCACUCUAGCUGCUCCAGAGUUGAUCAGUCACAAAAAGCACCAAAGCUACACUAAUGCUUCAAGCAGUUCAAAAGCCUUCAGACAACCACUCCAGCUUAUUGUAUCCUCCUGUUUUAAGGUACAAGCUUUCUUUGUCCAGAGCACCCUAGAAAAAAGUACAUCAAAUUAGUAUAUUGUUGCUACAUUUGCAAAUAAAAAUACAGUUUUGAUGCCUUAUCUACCUCCACUAGAUGGUGUUGCAG